rnacentral:rRNA from 1 species
GAUGAACGCUGGCGGCGUGCCUAAUACAUGCAAGUCGAGCGAACAGGUAAGGAGCUUGCUCCUUUGACGUUAGCGGCGGACGGGUGAGUAGCACGUGGGUAACCUACCUAUAAGACUGGGAUAACUUCGGGAAACCGGAGCUAAUACCGGAUAACAUUUGGAACCGCAUGGUUCUAAAGUGAAAGAUGGUUUUGCUAUCACUUAUAGAUGGACCCGCGCCGUAUUAGCUAGUUGGUAAGGUAACGGCUUACCAAGGCAACGAUACGUAGCCGACCUGAGAGGGUGAUCGGCCACACUGGAACUGAGACACGGUCCAGACUCCUACGGGAGGCAGCAGUAGGGAAUCUUCCGCAAUGGGCGAAAGCCUGACGGAGCAACGCCGCGUGAGUGAUGAAGGGUUUCGGCUCGUAAAACUCUGUUAUUAGGGAAGAACAAAUGUGUAAGUAACUGUGCACGUCUUGACGGUACCUAAUCAGAAAGCCACGGCUAACUACGUG